rnacentral:rRNA from 1 species
GUGGGGAAUCUUGCGCAAUGGGCGAAAGCCUGACGCAGCCAUGCCGCGUGAAUGAUGAAGGUCUUAGGAUUGUAAAAUUCUUUCACCGGGGACGAUAAUGACGGUACCCGGAGAAGAAGCCCCGGCUAACUUCGUGCCAGCAGCCGCGGUAAUACGAAGGGGGCUAGCGUUGCUCGGAAUUACUGGGCGUAAAGGGAGCGUAGGCGGAUAGUUUAGUCAGAGGUGAAAGCCCAGGGCUCAACCUUGGAAUUGCCUUUGAUACUGGCUAUCUUGAGUGUGGAAGAGGUAUGUGGAACUCCGAGUGUAGAGGUGAAAUUCGUAGAUAUUCGGAAGAACACCAGUGGCGAAGGCGACAUACUGGUCCAUUACUGACGCUGAGGCUCGAAAGCGUGGGGAGCAAACAGGAAUAGAAACCCGUGUAGUCC